UACGAAGGGGGCUAGCGUUGUUCGGAAUUACUGGGCGUAAAGCGCAUGUAGGCGGCGAUUCAAGUCGGGGGUGAAAUCCCAGGGCUCAACCUGGGAACUGCAUCCGAAACUGCCUUGCUAGAGUAUGGGAGAGGGAAGUGGAAUUUCCGGUGUAGCGGUGAAAUGCGUAGAUAUCGGAAGGAACAUCAGUGGCGAAGGCGACUUCCUGGACCAAUACUGACGCUCAGGUGCGAAAGCGUGGGGAGCAAACAGG
rnacentral:rRNA from 1 species